rnacentral:rRNA from 1 species
UACAGAAGAAGCACCGGCUAACUCCGUGCCAGCACGCCGCGGUAAUACGGAGGGUGCGAGCGUUAAUCGGAAUUACUGGGCGUAAAAGCGCAUGCAGGCGGCCUGUUAAGUCAGAUGUGAAAAGCCCGGGCUUAAACCUCGGAAAUUGCAUUUGAAAACUGGCAGGCUAGAGUCUUGUAGAGGGGGUAGAAUUUCAGGUGUAGCGGUGAAAAUGCGUAGAGAUCUGAAGGAAUACCAGUGGCGAAGGCGGCCCCUGGACAAAGACUGACGCUCAGAUGCGAAAGCGUGGGGAGCAAACAGGAUUAGAUACCCUGGUAG